GUGCCAGCAGCCGCGGUAAUACGUAGGGUGCGAGCGUUAAUCGGAAUUACUGGGCGUAAAGCGUGCGCAGGCGGUUUGCUAAGACCGAUGUGAAAUCCCCGGGCUCAACCUGGGAACUGCAUUGGUGACUGGCAGGCUAGAGUAUGGCAGAGGGGGGUAGAAUUCCACGUGUAGCAGUGAAAUGCGUAGAGAUGUGGAGGAAUACCGAUGGCGAAGGCAGCCCCCUGGGCCAAUACUGACGCUCAUGCACGAAAGCGUGGGGAGCAAACAGGAUUAGAUACCCUGGUAGUCC
rnacentral:rRNA from 1 species